rnacentral:tRNA from 1 species
GCCUUUGUGGUGUAGUGGUCGGCGCACUUGACCCGUAUUCGAUAAGUCCGUGGUUCGAGUCCCGGAGAGGGCA